rnacentral:rRNA from 1 species
ACUCAAAUGAAUUGACGGGGGCUCGCACAAGCGGUGGAGCAUGUGGUUUAAUUCGAUGCAACACGAAAAACCUUACCAGAAUUGGACAUAAAUUGUUUAAUUAUUUGAAAAAAUAAUUUUAUAAAAUUUACAGGUGGUGCAUGGCUGUCGUCAGUUCGUGUCGUGAGAUGUUAGGUUAAUUCCUAAAACGAACGCAACCCUUAUUUUUUGUUCAAUAAUGACAAAAAAAUGAUUAAUUACAAAAUUAAUGGAAGUUAAGGAUGACGUCAAGUCAGCAUGCCCCUUAUAUUCUGGGCUACACACGUGCUACAAUGAAUAAUACAAAAAGUUUAUCUUUAAAAUUAUUCUUAGUUCGAAUUGUAAACUGAAACUUGUUUACAUGAAGUUGGAAUCGCUAGUAAUCGCUGGUUAGAAUUACAGCGGUGAAUGAGUUCUCGAGCCCUGUACACACCGCCCGU